AGAGUUUGAUCCUGGCUCAGAACGAACGCUGGCGGCGUGGCUAAGACAUGCAAGUCGAACGGAUUAUGCUUAACCGUAUAAUUAGUGGCGAAAGGGUGAGGAACGGACAGGUAACGUACCUCGUGCACCGGAAUAGCGUCGUUAGUCGCAAGACUAACUACCGAAAGGGGCGGUAACACCGGAUAAUGUGAUUUGUCGCAUGACGAAUCUCCAAAUAAUUUAUUGGCACGAGAGCGGCCUAUCUCCUAUCAGCUAGUUGGUGAGGUAACGGCCCACCAAGGCUAUGACGGGUAGCUGGAUUGAGAGAUCGACCAGCCACAUCGGGACUGAGACACUGCCCGGACCUCCACGGAGGGCUGCAGUAACGAAUAUUGGGCAAUGGGCGCAAGCCUGACCCAGCGACGCCGCGUGUAGGAUGAAGUCCUUCGGGAUGUAAACUACUGUCAGGGGUAUGAAAGUCCCGAGCAAUCGGGAUUGAUCUAACCCAAAGGAAGUCACGGCUAACUCUGUGCCAGCAGCCGCGGUAAUACAGAGGUGGCGAGCGUUGUUCGGAAUCAUUGGGCUUAAAGCGUGUGUAGGCGGACCAGAAAGUGUCUUGUGAAAUCCCUCGUCUUAACCGAGGAAUGGCUCGGCAAACUACUGGUCUUGAGUCAUGUAGGGGUGCUUGGAACUCUUGGUGGAGCGGUGAAAUGCGUAGAUAUCAAGAGGAACGCCAGUGGUGAAAACGGAGCACUAGGCAUGUACUGACGCUGAGAUACGAAAGCGUGGGGAGCAAACGGGAUUAGAUACCCCGGUAGUCCACGCUGUAAACGAUGCAUACUUGGUGUUGGAAAUUCUGACAUUUUCAAGACCGAAACUAAAGCGAUAAGUAUGCCGCCUGGGGAGUACGGUCGCAAGGCUAAAACUCAAAGGAAUUGACGGGGGCUCACACAAGCGGUGGAGCAUGUGGUUCAGUUCGAAGCAACGCGCAGAACCUUACCUGGGUUUGACAUGGUUGGAUGGCUUUCUGGAAACAGAGUAGUCUGCUGCAAGAGUGAAACUUUCACAGGUGCUGCAUGGCUGUCGUCAGUUCGUGUCGUGAGAUGUCGGGUUAAGUCCUAUAACGAACGAAACCCUUGCCGUUAGUUACAAACCCCGCAAGGGGUGGACUCUAACGGGACCGCCGGUGUUAAACCGGAGGAAGGUGGGGAUGACGUCAAGUCCUCAUGGCCUUUAUGCCCAGGGCAACGCACGUGCUACAAUGGCGAGUACAAAGCGACGCAAGACCGUAAGGUGGAGCAAAUCGCAUAAAAGUCGUCUCAGUCCGGAUUGAGGGCUGCAAUUCGCCCUCAUGAAGUUGGAAUCGCUAGUAAUCGUGAAUCAGCUAUGUCACGGUGAAUGUGUUCCUGAGCCUUGUACACACCGCCCGUCAAGUGAUGGGAGCCGGAAAUACCC
rnacentral:rRNA from 1 species